rnacentral:rRNA from 1 species
UGGGGAAUAUUGGACAAUGGGCGAAAGCCUGAUCCAGCCAUGCCGCGUGUGUGAAGAAGGCCUUAUGGUUGUAAAGCACUUUAAGUGGGGAGGAAAAGCUUAUGGAUAACACCCAUAGGUUCUGACGUUACCCACAGAAUAAGCACCGGCUAACUCUGUGCCAGCAGCCGCGGUAAUACAGAGGGUGCAAGCGUUAAUCGGAAUUACUGGGCGUAAAGCGAGCGUAGGUGGUUUAUUAAGUCAGAUGUGAAAUCCCUGGGCUUAACCUAGGAACUGCAUCUGAUACUGAUAAACUAGAGUAGGUGAGAGGAAAGUAGAAUUCCAGGUGUAGCGGUGAAAUGCGUAGAGAUCUGGAGGAAUACCGAUGGCGAAGGCAGCUUUCUGGCAUCAUACUGACACUGAGGUUCGAAAGCGUGGGUAGCAAACAGGAUUAGAUACCCUGGUAGUCCACGCCGUAAACGAUGUCUACCAGUCGUUGGGUCUUUUAAAGGCUUAGUGACGCAGUUAACGCGAUAAGUAGACCGCCUGGGGAGUACGGCCGCAAGGUUA